rnacentral:rRNA from 1 species
UACGUAGGGGGCAAGCGUUGUCCGGAAUCAUUGGGCGUAAAGAGCGUGUAGGCGGUCCGGUAAGUCGGCUGUGAAAGUCCAGGGCUCAACCCUGGGAUGCCGGUCGAUACUGCCGGACUAGAGUUCGGAAGAGGCGAGUGGAAUUCCCGGUGUAGCGGUGAAAUGCGCAGAUAUCGGGAGGAACACCUAUGGCGAAGGCAGCUCGCUGGGACGUUACUGACG